UCAGUCGACUCCUACGGGGAGGCAGCAGUGGGGAAUAUUGGACAAUGGGGGAAACCCUGAUCCAGCAAUGCCGCGUGUGUGAAGAAGGCCUUCGGGUUGUAAAGCACUUUCAAUAGGGAGGAAAAGCUGUGCGUUAAUAGCGUACAGCCGUGACGUUACCUAUAGAAGAAGCACCGGCUAACUCCGUGCCAGCAGCCGCGGUAAUACGGAGGGUGCAAGCGUUAAUCGGAAUUACUGGGCGUAAAGCGCGCGUAGGCGGUUUGCUAAGUCAGAUGUGAAAUCCCCGGGCUCAACCUGGGAAUGGCAUUUGAGACUGGUAGGCUAGAAUGUGGUAGAGGUGAGUGGAAUUCCAGGUGUAGCGGUGAAAUGCGUAGAGAUCUGGAGGAACAUCAGUGGCGAAGGCGACUCACUGGGCCAUUAUUGACGCUGAGGUGCGAAAGCGUGGGUAGCAAACAGGAUUAGAUACCCUGGUAG
rnacentral:rRNA from 1 species